rnacentral:misc_RNA from 1 species
AUCUAUCUCAUCCAAAACCUCCAGCCUCUUAGCAGCCUCUUCCUCGCUCUCAUACAACCCAGCCUCAACCAAAUAUUUUUCCAAAUCAGAAGUCCUCUGAUGAUCAAUUUCCCCCGGCCCAGCCAUGGAGAUCGGCUUUGUUACCCCAAACUGCUUCUCACCCUCUGGCGGCGUGCUGCUGCCGCAGCUAUCCUCCGUGCUCCCCAUCUCAACGCCAGAAAAUCAGAUCCCCGCAAAACCGGGACACAGCAGAACAAGCAGAUCGGAACCCUAACGGAGGCGAUGAGGGGUCGCCGGAGAUCUGCGAUCCACCGCCGGAGUCGGAGAUCGGAGGGGAAUUGAGGAGAGAGAAAGUGGGGAGGAGAGAGAAAAGGGG